rnacentral:rRNA from 1 species
GCUUGUCUCAAAGAUUAAGCCAUGCAUGUCUAAGUUUAAAUAGAAAACAGUGAAACUGCGAAUGGCUCAUUAAAUAAUUUUGCAUAUACAAGAUAGUCAACUCUACUUGGAUAACCGUAGUAAUUCUAGAGCUAAUACAUGCGCCCAGACCCAACUUUUAGGAAGGGUUGUAUUUAUUAGGUACAGAACCAAUGCAAGCUCCGCUUGACCUUUUGGUGAUUCAUGGUAACCGAACGAAUCGCACGGCACCAGCUGGCGAUGGACCAUUUCAGUUUCUGACCUAUCAGCUUCCGACGGUAGGAUAUGGGCCUACCGUGGCAAUGACGGGUAACGGAGAAUUAGGGUUCGAUUCCGGAGAGGGAGCCUGAGAAACGGCUACCACAUCUAAGGAAGGCAGCAGG